rnacentral:rRNA from 1 species
GACGAACGCUGGCGGCAUGCCUAAUACAUGCAAGUCGAGCGAACAGAUGAAGUGCUUGCACUUCUGACGUUAGCGGCGAACGGGUGAGUAACACGUAAGGAAUCUGCCUAUAAGCGGGGGAUAACAUUCGGAAACGGGUGCUAAUACCGCAUAAUAUCUCCUUCCGCAUGGGAGAAGAUUGAAAGACGGCUCUGCUGUCACUUAUAGAUGACCUUGCGGUGCAUUAGUUAGUUGGUGGGGUAACGGCCUACCAAGACGAUGAUGCAUAGCCGACCUGAGAGGGGGAUCGGCCACAUUGGGACUGAGACACGGCCCAAACUCCUACGGGAGGCAGCAGUAGGGAAUCUUCCGCAAUGGGCGAAAGCCUGACGGAGCAAUGCCGCGUGAGUGAAGAAGGCCUUCGGGUCGUAAAACUCUGUUAUAAGAGAAGAACAAAUUGUAGAGUAACUGCUACAGUCUUGACGGUAUCUUAUCAGAAAGCCACGGCUAACUACGUGCCAGCAGCCGCGGUAA